CGUCUUCUGCUCUCCCCUCAAUUCCUCAACCUCAACCUCAACCUCAAUCCUUGCCUCUUCUACUCUCUCACUUCGCAUCCUCGAAAUUUCUAGAUCUACUCCAUGCUUGAAGAUUCUGCCCCAAUUUCAAGAAAUACGACAAAAUGUGAACGAAAUUUAAAGACUUUGAGGAAGGACCACGAACAUUUGUUAGCGCUGAAGUCUGCCAUUACAUCCGGGAGCAGCAUCUCCUGCUGAAGUUCAGAAACCUACAAUCAGAUCUGUAUGAUUUUUAAGUUUAACACUUAGUAAAUACAUUGUUUAAAAUGGUCUGUGUUGGUGCUUGUGUUCUUGGUAGGUGCUUGAGGGUGUGUGUGUGUGAGGUGUCAGGCUGUGUGGGCAUGGGUUCAAUGUCUCGCAUAUCAUUGCAGGUGUACAAUGGGCUUUCUUUAAGUGAAUGCAGGGCCAAGUUCUUACAUAUUCUACUUUAGUUUCAGGAAUUUAGACUAUAAAUUUCUUGUCUAUUUGGUGUUCUUAUUAGAACAAUAGCUCCUUGUUCUAGAUUUCGUGUUGCCCGAAUUGUAUGAUAUCUAUUAGUGAAUACGGGAUGGAUCAUUUAUUGAAUAGCUCAUGUUAUAGAUUCGAUUGCAUACUUUUUUAUUUAUUUAAUAUUCAAGGUUGUUUAGUGACUGCAAUGGAGGAUAUGCAGCUACUACAAAUUUGCAAAUAGAGAGAAGGCUAGAGCUGCAAACUUAAUCCCUCCGUCUGCGGAUCUACUCAUGGAUUUACAUGUUUGGACACCAAAUUUAUCGGCUGUAUCAAUUACAGAGGGCGGUGAACUUACUUAUUUAACUGACUUGGAAUGCAUAUAUGGCUGAUAUAAUUUCAUUGACUUCAAUCUUUGUGGAAAUGAUCUUUAAGGUAAGUGACCUUGGUUCUUUAUGCUAAUAUAGGACAGGGAUCUCGAUCAUUACACUAUAACAAUCUGGUUCUUUUUGCUAAUGUAAGAUGUUGCUUGUUGUAGCCAUUAAAUUGUUCCUAAGUUUGGCCUAGAAUGAACUUCUCUUGCUUUUCCCACGAGGAUGUGAAUUAAUACAAAGAGACAAAGGUGGUAUGUACUCAUUCGUGAGCCUUUUUAUAGUUUAUGCAUUUUAUUUUUCGCGGUGUAUAAAUGUAACUCAAGAGCUGGUGUUGCAAACCAUCCUCCCAUGGACACACAACUGAGAUUGAUUUGUCUCUUAAUCAAGCCAGACCCAUCAGGUAAUAACGUUUCAAAUUUCAAUUACUCACUUUAAGUCUCUAACCAAAAUAAUUUGAAAUAAGUCAAUAACACUAAUAUCCUAAAAUCUUCUUAUAGUAGUAUGCUUUUUUGAAGUAGCUGGAUUGACAUUAGAACGGAUAGUUGGAAGAUAUGGAUGAGAUGUAGAAGUUGCAGAGUUGUUUAACGUUCUGUUGUUAAGUGAGAUCAACAACUCUAUAAGUAUGAAGUGUGUAAAAAUGAUUAUCUAUAUUUUUUGGUGUUUGUUGUUCUUCAUUUCCAUUAUUUUGUGGGUUUCUUGAGUUGAUUCGCGAAUAUGACAACAAAGAAAUUGAAAGAUGUAGCCGUAGAGUCUCCUUGAACCUUGAUCACAACAUUCAACUAGCUCAUAUGAUCUAAAUCAUUUUCUUUUACAUCAAUCCAUCUCUCAUAAUUUCUGUCACCUCCUUUUGCAGCUUUUCAUAAUUUGUGGAUGUUGCAGCACUCUGUCAUUGCCAAUUACCGUAAGGUUAAAGUGUCUCAGUCCCAAUUGGUAAACAUAUCCUGCGUUGGAGGAUCAAAUUAGGCCAGGUAACAAAUAGAAAUUUUCUUCAAUUUGUGCUAUUGAAUUUGUUGUUGUAGAAUUGUAGAAACCGGAGAACUUCAUGUUGAGCAUGCUCUACUGCUCUACACUUAAGGUGAGUCACCUAUAUUAUUUGUGUCAUUAUAUUUAAUAGUCUCCUACGCCUAUGCUCAUUGAGACAAAAUCUUCGGGUAUUUAUCCCUAAAACUAUAGUUGAGAAAAAAUGUAGUGAAAAGGUGAACAAUAUUACAUAUUUUGGAAUUGAUUAAUUUACAUGUAACUUGUAAGAUAAAUAAAUGAUACACUAAUAAACUUUGCAGUACUCUGUAUUACACUAACACUUUAUCACUUGUUAACUAGUUUUUAUUUAUUUUUAAACAGAACAUUCUCAUGUCCACUUUUAUUUUUCUUUGUAGUGAUAAACAUUUAUGUAUCUCUGGGUCUAUUACGCUGUAUUUAUUGUCCUUCACCUUUUACAUGUUACCUCGUAUAAAUUUACUCUGAAGUUUGCCUCGUCCUCAUUGAAAUCCAAGAAAUUUUGAGUUUUACUCAUAUUCUUGUCUAAUAUAUAGUGAAUCGACUAGUCUGAUUUUGAUUUAACUUGCCUUAUUUUAUGGAUAAGUAUAUAUAAUGAAUCGAGUAACGUAGUCUGAUUUUGAUUAAACUUGUCUUAUUUUAUGGAUAAGUAUUUUCAUUAUCAAAUUUUGUGCUUUUUAUUUUUUGUUCGCCUCAUUUUUUUUCCAAGUAUGCUAAUGAUAUGAAGAAUUUAUUUUUGUAGUUUGGGAAACACGUGAACAACAAUACUCAACAUAAACCCAUUUAGCUUCCAUUUGACUUUGUUUACCUCAAGCUUAAGAAUUUGUAUGAGUGUGUUUUGGAUGUAUAAUGUAUAUGUUGAUGUAGAGAAGUCUAUAUUUGGACAAAUUGCAUUAGUUUUA